CAUCUAACGGACCACCGUCCUUGUUUGCUUUUUGGGGCCGGCCCAUGGGCGGCAAUCACGGUCGUCCACGCCCUACCGCCUCCUUCCUUGUCCAACGUUCACGGCUACAGUCACGUUCUUGGCACUUGCUGACGCAGGAAUCGUUUCAAUCAGAGUAUACCAAUUGAUCAACGAGCAGUAGUUAGGGCAUUUUUGAACCAGAAGAUUCAGAUCCCGUCAAGGAACUGUUUCAAUCAGAGCUUUCUGAUCAAAGGUAUGUUCUUCCAAAGCCACACUAUCUGUUCUUGUUUCAAUGCAUCUAGGAACUCGAUUGGGAUUAGGGUUUGGUAUCAAUUUACAGCUUCAAUUUCUAGUUUAAAAGUAGUUUGGCGAAAAGACCAAAAGCUAGAUCAAGCAAUUCAGAACGAUAAAUCAUGGAGACAAUGUGCAAAGGUUGUUAAAGAGGUGUUAAAUGAACCUGGUCAAGUAAUCCCUCUUCGGUAUUUGGAGAAACGUCGUGAAAGAUUACGACUUCCAAUCAAAAUCCAAACAUUUUUAUCUCGAAAUCCGGGGCUUUUCGAUGUGUAUUAUGAUCGAAUCAAACCCAAGACUGAACCUGUUAAGUUUCUAAGGUUUAGUGAUCGGCUCCAACGAGUUUUAGACGAGGAGGAAAGGAUUUAUCUCGAAAAUGAGCCGUUGAUUGUUGCUAAGUUGUGUAAACUAUUGAUGAUGGCCAAGAACAAUGUAGUUAAUGCCGAGAAAUUGGUUCAUGUGAAGAGGGAAUUCGGAUUUCCUAAUGAUUUAAUGGUGAAUUUGAUUCCCAAAUAUCCCGAGCAUUUCAAAUUAAUCGGGUCUCCUGGAGAAGGAAAUUCAUUUUUGGAGCUGGUUUCUUGGAACCCUAUAUUUGCAAAAUCAGUGAUCGAACAAAGGGCUGAUGAAGAAUCGGAGUUAACAGGUAUAAAGAUCCGACCAUCUUUCAAUUGGAAGCUUCCAAAAGGUUUUCUUAUUAGAAAAGAAAUGAGGGAAUGGAUUCGAGAUUGGAUGGAACUUCCUUACAUUUCACCAUAUGAUGAUGCAUCAAAUUUCGAUCAAGCAUCUCAAGAGAUGGAGAAGAGGACGGUGGGUGUUUUUCAUGAAUUACUGUCGUUAUCCCUGUAUAAAAGAAUCCCAGUGCCGAUAUUGGGCAAGUUUACUGAAGAGUACAGGUUUUCAAAUGCAUUCUCGAGUGUGUUCACAAGGCAUUCAGGAAUCUUUUAUAUGUCACUGAAAGGCGGGAUUAAGACAGCAAUGUUGAGAGAAGCUUAUAAGGGUGAUGAGUUGAUUGAUAGAGACCCACUACUAGAAAUUAAUGAUAAUUUUAUUGAGUUAUUGGCUGAAGGUCAUGAGCAGAGGGAAGAACAGCUGAAACUUCAGAAAGAAGCAGUUCAAAACGAUAUGGAAAUGGUGGCAAUGAGAAACAAUCCUGAACUUACUGAAAGCGAAGAGCUUUAUAGCUCUUGAACUUGCUCUGUUGCCAGCAUUUGAAGCAUCAAAGCCAGUGGGAAUUCACAUAUUAUAUAGCAAUGUAUGAUAGAAGAAGUUUGGUGCUAUUGCAUUUGGGUGGCAAACCAUACUACACCAAACACGGUCUACUCAAUCUUCAUGCGAAGGGAAUGAAGGUGACACACUUCACUUCAAUAAUUACAAAUUUAUUCCUGUUUUCAGUUCUUUUUAACCUACCCAGAAAGGCUCCUACCUAAAGAACACACAAACUUUAUGAAUGAAUUUCUAUACAUAAAUGUGCAAUAUAUAUGAGCAAAGGCAAGGUAUUAUACAACGGUUGGUUUUUUCAUACUUAGGAAAGACUAUGGACACUUCCAAUGUUCUUAAAUGGGCAUCUUUCACGUUGUUUCUUGUAUUUCAUCCCCAGAUAGAACGCCCUCUAGUUGCCACGGUCCCAAUUCCCCCUUUUGCCCCUCGUCCACUCUGUAAUUUCCAGUUGGCCCUUGCAAAUCAAGCCUGUGCAUAUCUUCCGUCAUCACUAGUCUCGCCCCCACCUCCACCACCACCCUUUGCUGCGGUUUAUCCUACUCCACCACCUUCAUCUGAACAUCACGACCACAUACAUAGUCCCAGUCAUAGACAUAGGCAUAAACAUCAUCAUCAUUCACAUGGGCAUGAGCUUGAUGAUGGGCAUGGACACAAUGAAAGUCAUGUGGAUGGUCAUGGUCAUCAUAGACAUGAUCAUCACAAACAUAGUCAUA